UAAUAAGAAGCAAUAAAUUGCAGUUAGUUUCGACCUAACCUUUAGGCUUAGCCCUUAUUUU
rnacentral:tRNA from 1 species